AUCUGCUAGGAUGCUGGCGUAAUGGCUGUAAGCGGCCCGUCUUGAAACACGGACCAAGGAGUCUAACAUCUAUGCGAGUGUUUGGGUGUCAAGCCCGAGCGCGUAAUGAAAGUGAACGGAGGUGGGAACCCGCAAGGGCGCACCAUCGACCGAUCCUGAAGUUUACGGAAGGAUUUGAGUAAGAGCAUGGCUGUUGGGACCCGAAAGAUGGUGAACUAUGCUUGAAUAGGGUGAAGCCAGAGGAAACUCUGGUGGAGGCUCGCAGCGGUUCUGACGUGCAAAUCGAUCGUCAAAUUUGGGCAUAGGGGCGAAAGACUAAUCGAACUAUCUAGUAGCUGGUUCCUGCCGAAGUUUCCCUCAGGAUAGCAGUAACGUAUUCAGUUUUAUGAGGUAAAGCGAAUGAUUAGAGGCAUGGGGGUUGAAACAACCUUCACCUAUUCUCAAACUUUAAAUAUGUAAGAAGCCCUUUGUUACUUAAUUGAACGCGGGCAUUUGAAUGAAACGUUAUUAGUGGGCCAUUUUUGGUAAGCAGAACUGGCGAUGCGGGAUGAACCGAACGAGGGGUUACGGUGCCGGAGUACACGCUCAUCAGACACCACAAAAGGUGUUGGUUCAUCUAGACAGCAGGACGGUGGCCAUGGAAGUCGGAAUCCGCUAAGGAGUGUGUAACAACUCACCUGCCGAAUGAACUAGCCCUGAAAAUGGAUGGCGCUCAAGCGUGUCACCUAUACCCCUCCGCCGGGGCAAAAUUUACGCCCCGGCGAGUAGGCAGGCGUGGAGGCUCGUGACGAAGCCUUGG
rnacentral:rRNA from 1 species